CCCUUACCUGCUCGGCCACCGCCCUGAAGAGGCAAGAGCCGUCCUUGGCGACGGGUUGGCGGUACAAGCCCAGAGACCGCAGGUGUCGAUUCUGGAAUCUGGUCCUUCAGAAGCUGACUUGCUGUACAAUGCGCGGAGGUUGGGGUGUCAGUCAGCCAGUGGGCUUUUCAGCCUCAACCACCCAAUAGUUAUGACCUCACUUCUGGUGAUAUCUUCAAAAAGGAAGGACAGUCAUAUGACGGAGACUGGCUUUAGUACAUGGAAACUGAGAGAUGGUCGGUAUGUGUUAUGGAGCAGUAGAGGAAAAGGAUUGCAUUUUCCCCAUUUUUGGUUUGUGCAGAAAAUUCUUGCCAAUCUGAACUUUCUGCUUAGGCUAGUUACAUUGUCUUACCUAUUUGGAAUGCUUCUGCCAAAUAUUUCAAUAUGAUGCUUUCUCUUCCUUCUUUUUUUUCUUUAAAUAUCAAGCCAGCCCGCCAUAAUACAUUAAAUACCUCCAUAAUCAUUCAGUGAUUUUGAGUUAAUUUUGUCUAUUUUGAUUGUGUUGUGUUUUAAUAUUUCAUCACUUCUAUUGUGACUGUCUCGAUUCCUUCUCCCCACUUGAAGUUUUAGAUUGUGAAUAUCACAAGGAACAAGGACCAUGUUUAAUUCCCACCUGCGUAUU